UGCAGUCGAGCGAAUGGAUUAAGAGCUUGCUCUUAUGAAGUUAGCGGCGGACGGGUGAGUAACACGUGGGUAACCUGCCCAUAAGACUGGGAUAACUCCGGGAAACCGGGGCUAAUACCGGAUAAUAUUUUGAACCGCAUGGUUCGAAAUUGAAAGGCGGCUUCGGCUGUCACUUAUGGAUGGACCCGCGUCGCAUUAGCUAGUUGGUGAGGUAACGGCUCACCAAGGCAACGAUGCGUAGCCGACCUGAGAGGGUGAUCGGCCACACUGGGACUGAGACACGGCCCAGACUCCUACGGGAGGCAGCAGUAGGGAAUCUUCCGCAAUGGACGAAAGUCUGACGGAGCAACGCCGCGUGAGUGAUGAAGGCUUUCGGGUCGUAAAACUCUGUUGUUAGGGAAGAACAAGUGCUAGUUGAAUAAGCUGGCACCUUGACGGUACCUAACCAGAAAGCCACGGCUAACUACGUGCCAGCAGCCGCGGUAAUACGUAGGUGGCAAGCGUUAUCCGGAAUUAUUGGGCGUAAAGCGCGCGCAGGUGGUUUCUUAAGUCUGAUGUGAAAGCCCACGGCUCAACCGUGGAGGGUCAUUGGAAACUGGGAGACUUGAGUGCAGAAGAGGAAAGUGGAAUUCCAUGUGUAGCGGUGAAAUGCGUAGAGAUAUGGAGGAACACCAGUGGCGAAGGCGACUUUCUGGUCUGUAACUGACACUGAGGCGCGAAAGCGUGGGGAG
rnacentral:rRNA from 1 species